rnacentral:rRNA from 1 species
GUGUCAGCCGCCGCGGUAAUACAGAGGUCCCAAGCGUUGUUCGGAUUCACUGGGCGUAAAGGGUGCGUAGGCGGUCGGAUAAGUCUGAUGUGAAAUCUUCGAGCUCAACUCGGAAACUGCAUCGGAAACUAUUCGGCUAGAGGAUUGGAGGGGAGACUGGAAUUCUCGGUGUAGCAGUGAAAUGCGUAGAUAUCGAGAGGAACACCAGUGGCGAAGGCGAGUCUCUGGACAAUUCCUGACGCUGAGGCACGAAAGCUAGGGGAGCAAACAGGAUUAGAUACCCCCGUAGUCC